GGGUGCAACGAAACGGAGGGUGUAUUGAGCGAAAGAAGUUUGGGUUGUGGCCACGGGCCCAUCACACCAUUGAGACGCAGCCGUGAGCCUCUCUCACAUCUGCAAACCUAAAUCCCAUUUCAUCACUUCACUCACAAACCAAUUCAAAAUUGCGACGGCGCCGAUUCCUCCAACAUCGCAUGAGAAGAGACGCCUCAAAUCUCGAUCUUGUGUCCCUCGCUGGAUCGGAGCUCCGGUGCGAUCAUAAAUUACGGCGCCGGAGGAAGACUCGACCGAUGGCGUUCACGACUCAUCAAGAACUCACCUCAGUAUUCAAAAUGUUUCUCUGAUUAUGGUCGAUUGGGAUGCGGAACGUAGCGAGGUGCAAACGGCUGAUUCGGCGAUGGAAAGCUUUGUGUUGGUGACGGCGGUUUUCUUCAGCUCGUUGCGAGUUGAAGGAGAACGAUGAAGAUGAUGACGAAAUCACUCCCUCUGGUAAAAUGUGAAUAGGUUGAGGAUGAAAGAUGAUGAAAUCCGGUAUUAGCUGCAAUCUGAGGACGAAGACAAAAAUGGUACAGGUUGGUUGAGGGUGAGCCAGGGUCGUUGAAGGGUGGUUUGAAGACGGGAUUUUGGUGGUUAGGGGUUUUGGAGGAUGAUGAUGGAGAUGAAGGAGUGGAAUUGAAGCGUUGAAGAUGGAGAAGGUUUGUUACAGGUUGAAGGAUUAAGGAGUGUGGUGGAUGAUUGAUGAAGAAGCUGGAAGUGGAUUCCUUUUUUUUUGAAGGAAGAUUGAAGCGGUUGAAGGUUGGUGCGGUGAAGGUUUUGUGAAUGGAUGUUGAAGUGGCGGUUCGGUGCAGUGGUUCAAUGGAGGUUGAAGGUGGAUAGAGGAUCCGGAUUAGGUGGAAGGUGAGGAUUACGAUUACGGUUGCAGUUUUGGUUGAAGAAUUGAGGUGGAAGAAGGUAGCAGGUUAAAGGAUUGAACCGUGUGGUGGAGGAUUGAUGAAGGUUGGAGAAGAAGCUGGAUUGUGAUUGAGAGUGGAGGUGGAGAAGAAUGGGGAGGAAAGUGAGAGAGGUUCAAGGUUGCCACCGAAAAACCAGAAAAAAAAACUUAACCAAAUCAUCCAGGUUUUGUUAGAAGGUUGUUGAUAGUUGGAAGUUAUGAAGGGUGUUAUGAAUGAGUUGGAAGUUUGUUAUAUGGUUAUGACAGUUUUAGAGAAAUGGACGCACAACUGUCAGUUUGUUUCUAUUGAAUAUGGCUUGGAUGGAAUUCCUGUUAGAGAGCAGCUUCCCUAGCUGCAUCUCGAACUUCAGGCUUCUCGGCUCUUUUCUUCUGAAUGACUUCCAGAAUAGCACCAACAAUUGACCUAGAGUAUGGCUUCUUGGUAGCACGACGUCUCUUCUUUACAGCUUCUUGAGCAAUGUCCUUCUUGUGUUGCUUUCUGAGAAUCACUGCGAAUAAAUCUGAUGCCUCUUCCUGGGUAGAUCUUUGCACCACUGAAUCGGCAGAGUUCAGUCUAGAGAACCAUUGUUGCUUCUCCGCUGGUGGCUGCUUCUGUUAUUUAAGGUUAUACUUCCUAUAGGCAUGUGAAUGAACUCCGUGAAAUCGGCCAUGGCUCUAGGUUUCUUUUCAGCAGAAAGAUGAUACUUGGCCAAUGCAAAGACAACUCUUUCACGGUAAUCGGGAUCGGCCCAGUCUGCAGCAAUGGCUUGUGCAAUUUUCUUUUUCUGUUCAGGGGAUUUGGGUGCUCUGUUGCUGGAUGGUGCCCUUGCCAUUAGUUUCCGCUGUUCAAGAGUCUGGAACCAGUCCCGCUGAAGCUGACCAUCCAACGUUUCAUAGGAAUUCCAUUGCAGCUCUUCCUGACCAAUAAAGCCUUGCCUGGAUGCUUCUGCAAUUAAAUUUUGCCACUGAAAUGUUUUAUGGUUGUAAAUGUAUGGUUGUGAUCACAUGAUAUAGAAUAAAAUUGGAAUUGUGUUGGAUUGGAAUUUUAAAUGAAGAUGAAUGUAUCAGUUGGUUCACAUGUUUUA